AUACUUACCUGGACGGGGUCGAUGGGUGAUCAGUAAGAUCCAUGGCCUAGGUUGGUGGCUUUCAUUGCACUCAGAAGGUGCACCUGCCUAAGGUCUCCCCGAGUGUGAGAGCUUACGUCUUUAUUUGUGGCAGUUGGGGCCUGCGAACGCGCGGCCCCUUC